CAAAAAAAUCAUUUACUAAAAUUUAUUGGAGAAAUGAAUUCUCGUUUCACAUUGGAGUUUCAAAAAAGAGGGAGUUGAAGAAGUUUAUUGUCGUCACUGGAAAUGGAAAGGUUUCAGAAGAUAAGAGCAGCACCGACCCGUUUAUUAAUCCAAGAUCAUGCCACAUUGUCAUGUGCCUGCAGACAUGUGCAUAACGUGGAAUUGAAUGGUUUCACGCACCAUAAGUCGACUCAUUGGGCCACUAACACAUUAGGCAGUUUCACCAAAGUAAAGAGUAGACUAGACUUCCAUAAUAGGGUAUGUCUUCUCCUCUCUAGACACAAUAUUCAUGAAUAUUAGUGGCGGUGACAAGCAUUAACAAGUUAAGGUCCACCACCAUAAUUCCAAAUUUCCCAUUUGAAAUGGUCUUGGGUACUUCAUAUACCUUCAACUAGAUCCAAAUCCAGUUUGUUGUAUGUCUUCCAAUCCUACUUUUAAGUCUUUAACCACCCAUCAUACACCAAGAAAAAUCUAUAAGUACAGAAAAUUUGAUACACAAAUUGUUAGUAAUAAAUAAAAGGAUAAUGUUAAUGGUUAGUCCAAAUGAGAAUUAGUAUAAGUUUCCUAACUCAAUUGAUGUCAAAAAUAUUUCAAUUGUUUAGUGUAUCUUACUCUUAUAGACCAUAAUCAAAAAAUCACAUUACAAAAAUUGAAAAGAUAAGAAAACAAAACAACAACAUUUGUAUUUUUUUCCUUCUUUUUUUUUUUUUGUUUUUUUUUUUUUUUUUUGGUAAGGGAGGAAGGGGCUUGGGAAAAUUAAGAACAAUAUCCCGUAGCAAUCUGAUGAUCUACUCAAUUGUUGACUUUGAGGAUUCUAAGGACUAAUGCGUUCUCGUAGCGUUGCCGUUGGUAUACGUAAUUACUAAACACCAAAGACUUGAACUGGAUUUGGAAAUUAUUGCUCAAAAAAAGAAAAGUAUUGCUCAAAGCCACAUGAAUAUUCGUCAUCUUCUUGGUGUUGGAGCAAAUAGACUUAUACGUAUUUGGUCAUAGAAGGCUGUGCAGUGUGGCAAUGGUACAGUUGGGUUCAGUUUCCCCUCUGGUCCGGUGGCUCUAUUUUUUGUGGAGCAAUUAGAGAAAGAGAGAGUGAGAGACAAAGAAAAAGAUAAAAGGGAAACAGAAAGCAAUAUAAUGAAAUUUAUUAAAAACAAAUGGUAAAUUCAUACAUACUUAAUUGAGUUUUGAAAGAUUUUUUAAAGUAUUUGCUUGUUAUUGGGAAUAUAAAGUAAGUGGAACUUUUUUAUAAAAAAAAAUUUGAGAAGGAAGUUAGUGAAAACUUGGGGAGUAAAUAAUUAGAUAUGUUCAAGUUUGUUCAAGAGAACAAAUAUUAAAAAAAACAAAACAAAAAGUAACUUUCUUUAAUAGAAAAACCAUUUGUUAGUAAAUAGCUUUUUAAAUUUAUCUAAUAUUUAAGAGUUUUAAAAUUAAUAAUUUUAUAUGUCUAAUCCUAUUAUUUUGUGUUUGGGCUUCCUUGUAUAUUACAACAUGAGAGAACUCAUCUAAGAUUUUUUUUUUUUUGGUAUAGGACUGGUCUAUAAUAUUUUGAGCAUUUAUAUUGGUGGAGGCAAAUAAGUAAAAUACUAAAUUUAGCAGCUAAAUAUAACAAAAGUGGAACAAAAGGCUAAUGCAUCAAUGGAGCAAAAGCCAUACUUUUUUGGCUGUUGAGCUAUAGUGCACAACCAAAGAUGGCUAUGCAUUGUUGCUAAAAUGGUAAAAAAAUAUAUUAUUUUAUUGUAUUGGUAGUGGUGGUGGUGAUUAUUGUUUAUUGUAGUAGAUAUAUUAUCUUAUUAUGUUGUUUAUAUUAUUUUAUUAUGUUAAAUGCUAAAAUAAAAUUACUUAUGAUGGGUGUAUGUUUUGAAAAGUGGGGUAAUAAAAUAGAUAAAAUAAGAUGCUAAAUUGUUAAAGUUUUAGCACCAUCGAUGCUAACGCUCUUAGAGUGUCUGAGAUACAGACAAGCCAAGCCUGUUCAACAAUUGUACAUUUUCACACGCUCUAUACACCAAUACUAGUAUAUACUGUUUUCCCGAAUCCGUUAGCAAUGAUACAACAGCUGAGACAGAAAGGCUGCAACAUGAAAAUGCAGCUUAUUACCAUUUUCAAAAAUGCAAAGCCUAACAUUCUGGACUUUUCGUUCCCAAACACAGGGCCCAAUGGGUUUGUAGAUUGUAAAAUAAAAAGGCCCUAAUGACAUGGGAGGAUUUUUAAAUCCAGGCCUUCCAAGUCGGCUUAUUUGGAUAUUUAGGUUGACAACUCUUAUUGGAAAAAAUUGUUAUGUCUACAUCGGUGGAAUUGGUGGAGAUACUUGCUGCUAGGAGGGCUGUCCAGUUACAGUAGAACUCGGCUAUCAGCAAGCCAUAUUCGAAGGGGACUCGGGACUGGUCUUCAAAGCUCUUUCAGAGGGGGUCCAAUCUCUCUUGCCUCUUGGACAUCUUGUUGACUUCAUGUCUAUUGCAGGCUUAUUAAGAGCCUAUUUCUUCUCUCACACUAGGAGGCAGGGCAAUUGUGUUGCUCAUGUCAAUUUUGUUCAUAAUUGACACAUUAGUUUGUUAGUUUUUUUGGGUAAGAUUAAUAAUAUCUUUAACAUUUCCAACUUAAUAAA